UUCUCUAGUUUACUAUAUAUAUAUAUAUAUAUAUAUAUAUAUAUAUAUACAUAUAUAUAUAUAUAUAUAUAGAUAUAUAUUCAUGCAUGUUGCACUGUUAGAAAGAAAAUGAACCGUGAAAUAAGAAAAAUAUGUUUUAUUAUUGCACAAAGCAGCGUAUAGUUUCUAA